UUUGAAAGUUUCUAAACUAAACGAAUCUGGAAAAGGUAUGAAGAAUUUAAAAGCAAGGAUAAAAAGACAGGUAUUCAUGCAACUAAAUCUACUUGGGUGUAAAAGCAAAGAACCGCAAGUUUGAACAUGAAGGAUGCAAUGGAAUCAUUGGUGCUGGCAUAUCAAAUAAACAAGGAUAUCGGACCCACCCGUGUACACGCAAGCCUGGUCCAACACAAUAAAAUACGUGGACGGUCUGGAACGAACAGAUGAAGAACGUGGGAGCCGCUCAAAAGCGCGGAACGAGAACGUUCGUAAUCCAACGAGAAAUUUGUAUAACGAUUGUACAAUAAUUACCAAUCGAUGUUUAUAGAAUAUGUAUGUGAACUCAUAUGUAUUGAAAGAGAGUAAAAUGUAUAUUGAGUCUUGCAUUAGUCCUACAUUGGAUGUAUGGGGGAGUAUUUAUAGUAAUACAAAUU